rnacentral:rRNA from 1 species
GACGAACGCUGGCGGCGUGCUUAACACAUGCAAGUCGUACGGUAAGGCCCUUUCGGGGGUACACGAGUGGCGAACGGGUGAGUAACACGUGAGUAACCUGCCCACAACUUUGGGAUAACGCUAGGAAACUGGUGCUAAUACUGGAUAUGUGCUCCUGCUGCAUGGUGGGGGUUGGAAAGCUCCGGCGGUUGUGGAUGGACUCGCGGCCUAUCAGCUUGUUGGUGGGGUAGUGGCCUACCAAGGCGGCGACGGGUAGCCGGCCUGAGAGGGUGACCGGCCACAUUGGGACUGAGGUACGGCCCAGACUCCUACGGGAGGCAGCAGUGGGGAAUAUUGCACAAUGGGCGCAAGCCUGAUGCAGCAACGCCGCGGGCGGGAUGACGGCCUUCGGGUUGUAAACCGCUUUCAGCAGGGACGAAGCUUUUUGUGACGGUACCUGCAGAAGAAGCACCGGCUAACUACGUG